CUUUUUAAAUUUUCUAAUUCCCGACCUUGUCUGUCUGUCAUGUACAUGAGGGAGACUAAGAGGCUUCCUGGGAGCCUUUUAUAACCUGCACCUUGACCUGUGGAGCCUUCGAAAUGCCUUAGUUAUUAGAUCUUGGCUCAAGGUUGAGCACCUGCUCACAUCACCAAUGCCGCUGUGACAAGCCUUAGAUGGUUUCUUUGUGCGUCUGUGUGGUGGGCUUCCAUCCUCUCUACCCUUCCUUACUGAGGAAUGGGUUUGGGUGUGUUCUGGCAUGGACCCUGGCAUGGCCAAAUUGUCUCCCAGAAUGGACCAGCAGCAGCAGAGAGAGACAACCUCUGUUCUAUUUGCCCUCCACAUCUGGACCUGUCAUUUCACUUUCAAGAGCACAGCAGCCCCCAGAAUGGUAAGCUGGUUGCCUUUUGUGAGGAUGAAGCAGGAAGACGGUGAGAGGUCAGAAAUGCUUGCUCAGGGUUUCUCGAUGGCUGACGGCAGAGAUAAGGGAAGAAGCCUCAACUCUCCCAAGCCAUGUCCUACAGUUAUGUGAACCUUAUCAGAAGAGCCCACUGGAGACGGCGCCAAGAGAAGUGUAGAAGAAGGUGUUUCAUGCUGUGUACAGUCUGCAGCUUGCAGAAUGAGUGGCAGUUGCCUAGCCUAGGUCUGGACACUGGUGUGACUAGAAAACUGGCCAUUUCCCCAACUAGAGGUCUGGACAUUUUCUCUCCCAACACCGAUUGUUGGAUCAGUACUCUAUACACACUAUCCGGGGCCGGGCGGCAGCUCUCACCAUGAAGGUGGAGCUGUGCAGUUUGAAUGGGUACAAGAUCUACCCGGACACAGUCGGUGCUACGCCAGUAUCGACGGGAAGGUUUUCCAGUUUCUUAAUGCAAAAAUGCGAGUCCGCAUUCCUUUCCCAAAGGAAAGUGUGCCAUCACUGGUGUAUCCCUUGCUGAUAUCAUGGCCAAGAAGAAUCAGAAACCAGAAGUCAGGAAAGCUCAUCGAGAGCAGGCAUCCAGGAAGACAGCAAUGGCUGCUGCCAAGGCCCCUACAAAAGCAGCCCCUAAACAAAAGACUGAAGCCUGUGAAGGUCUCUGCUCCCCGAGUUGGUGGGAAACACUAACUUGAUAGAUCAGAGUCUCAAAUGAAGAUCUAUCUUAACUCAGAUCCUGGCUACUGGAAAGGAGAGUGGGCAUAGCCCAGCAUCCUGCCCAGCUUCCAUGUGCCCCCAUCACUCCCACAGUGGUCCUCUGUUUUCCGGUGGUCCAUCUUCCUCUCGUGUACACAGAAGUGGCAGGCUUACAUAUAACAUGUCUGCUCCUUGUCUGCAUCUUCAGCAAGCCACGGGAAAAGCCAGACAUAGCCUGCGACAUUUGGGCUCUGGGGGUCACCCUGUCCUCACCUUCAGUCAUUGCUGGUUUGUGCAUGGCUUUGGCCGAUUUGAAAGCAUCCUCGGAAACCGACUUUUCUCUCAUCCUGGCAAGUUUACUCCUGUUCAUCUUCCUUCCCAGGCAGAGGAAGAUCCAGGGCUUAGGCAUCAGUGGAAAGCAGGGAGGAAUUCCCAGCAUGCUCAGGGCAGCCAGACAGAAAGAUACGGGGCUCAGGAUAGCCAAGCAGCCACCAUGUGUUUUAUCAACCUAGAGAUGUCCUGGCACAGUCCUGGCACAGGUGCAGUGAAACUCGGGGGUGGGUAGUCUUGGGGAGUAUCCCACAGAGUGUUUCAUGGACCACUGAUGCCAGAGACUCCUGGUUUGAAAGGCACUCAAUAGACUAUUAAUUUAUACCAUGAGUCCAGAACAGACACUGUGUCUGUCUGUCCAUCCAUGUUCCCUCUUUUCCUCCGGUCCUCCCUCCUUCCCUCCCUUCCUCUGAGCUGGGCACACCCUCAGGCUAGGGAACUCCGCCUGUCAUGGAACUGUGAUUGGAGAUGGUUACAAAGAGGCAGAAAGGGUCUAGCACUUGAGUGACCUUGAGCAGCCAGGGCAGCAGCAGCAGGAGAGAGCCUAAGUCUUGCAGCCAUCUGGGGGACCCCUCAAGCCCUGAGGCAUUCCAGCCAUCUGGUUUGUCCUUGAGUCACCUUCCAGCCCGUGACUGAGAGCACACCCUGGGGAGACAGCUUCCUCCAGAUUCCUUCUGUUAGCAACAAGGGUUUUUGUUUUAUUUUGUUGUUUUUCUUCCUUUGUUUGUUUUUCAAUAUUGAGAAUCUGGGACUCCAGCUCAGGGCCUUGCAAUGCUAAGCAAGCACUCUCCCA
ensembl:lncRNA